AAUCACAUAUGGGACACCUGUCCUUCAAUUAUGCAAUUGGUUUUUGCUUUUGGCGCACAAAUUGAAGCUUCCUUUUCCCGGACGAAUACCCGUUUUCUUGGCCCAUUACACAAAACUCAUAUUCCAUUCAUCUAUUCUCAUCCAAAACCCUAGACAAGUUUUCCUCUCCCAUUCAUCCGUCUGCCACCUCCUAACUUCUCCUCUCAAAUCUCUAAUGUUCUCGAUGGAUUCAACACCAUAUCCGCCGCUGCGCAUCCUCAAACCCACCAUGGCCACCGCUGCGCAUCCUCCAAACCCACCAUGGCCGCCGCUGCACAUCCUCCAAACCCUAGAUCUAAUACCAGAGUACUCUAGAUUGUUGCUUUGGACCCGGGCUUAUGGUUCAAAGAAUGUUAUUUUUGUUUCAGUUGCUCCGGACCUGGGAUUAUGGUUCAAAGAAUAAUUGAGAUGACUUUUGUAGGUCACUUAAUGUUUCAGAUCUAGAAUGUCACCUGCCUAUGAUUUGUUAAUCUACCCGAACAGGAGAGCCAGGGUUGACUCGAGGUGCAUCCUAAUACAACGAGGUUAACUUUACAAGUUGUAAGUGUUGAAGUUGACAAUAUACGCGCACUGAAGGUGAGAUUGUAUACUUUCAUAUGGGAAGGGGUAGCAGCAACAACUGAGCGACAAACGAGCUGAGAUAAGACUCUCAAAUCAUAGACCCGUUAUAUGUUAGGUUUUGAAGCGUUUUCAUUAAAAAAGUUACAACGUGCCAUUUCCUGAUGCGGAAAUGGAAAACUAUUGCUCGACGUGUUUAAGAUAAAACAAGUCAGCGUUUUUUAUAUGCAUCCGUAUUAGGAUUGUAGUUUCACUUUGUCAUUAGACUUAUGUAAUAUGUAUAUUAUGCACGUUUAAUUUUAGUUUCAAUAAGACCACUAAACAUUCAAAGUAUUGUUAUGUGUUAAACCAUGUGUUAUUUAUAUUAGAUAAGGAUGUGAAUGUUAUUUUUUA